rnacentral:tRNA from 1 species
CGCGGGGUGGAGCAGCCUGGUAGCUCGUCGGGCUCAUAACCCGAAGGUCGUCGGUGCGUAUCCGGACCCCGAAUCCA